CCUGCUGGGAUUCUUUUUGGUGGAGAGGGGAGGUGAUGAGCAGAUAGGGGGUGGAGUGAGGAGUGAAAGGAAUGAAUUAAAGAAAAAUACUCAUUAAGGAACAGCUUCAUUUUAUAAUACAUAUAUAUCCUUCUGUGAAAUCAUAGCAAAAUUCUGGGAAGAAUUUAUGUCCUUUCCAAGCUCCUAAGAUUAAGUCUUAUAUAUGUCGUAUAUCCCUCAUUCUGGCCUCUUCCCAGGUGAGAAUUUUGCCCAGCGAGAGCUAUGAGGAUUACUCACUUGCACAGGCCAGGAGGAGAACGCUGCUCCGUGCUUGUACCCAGGGCUGUGGAAGUUAAUCCCACCACAGUCACGCUUUAUAGCGCUACAGUCUUUCAUAGUAACUGUGAUACUUCCACGUUGUUCGUAUGUAGCGAGGACUAAAAUGUGGUCCUUGCACAGAGCCUGGAUGCUGGGCUUCACACAGAGAAAAUACACUGUUGGUUAUAAGAGUAAUAGGUAAAAUUCAGCAGCAUAAUUCUAGAUCUGCCAAGUUCACAGCUGCCUAUAGCACUCAAGGCCAACUAUAGCACCUCUAAUAGUUUAACCACAAAAUCCAAACAUCCACUCUUAUAGUUGGGCUGGUCCCCAGAUCCCACCUCUGGGCUUGACUGUAGAAGAUGAGUGGCCAAAUUCUGCUACUUGAUUUCUUUGUAGACUUCUGCCUUAGAGCAGUGCCACAGUGACAGUGCUGUGUCUGAGGGUUCCUAUGACCCUUCCAACUCCAACCUUGCAAUUUGCAUAUAAAAAUCUGAGACUCUCUGAUGUGAGAACAGUACUUUAUUUCCCUCGUCUUUUCAGGAUUACAGCUCUCAAACACUGAGGGGGCUGUAAAAGCCAGCGGGCACUGACCAGGCUCAAAGUCCUUCAACAGUGUUCAAGAUGAACCGUCCUCUGGUACACAGCACCGGGCUUGGGCGACUGAUUUCACUUCACUGUUCUGCCACAGGCUCCUGCAUGACAUUAACCAUAUUUUGCAGCCUGGGAACCUGUGGUCAGCCAGACCAUAAAGAAUCAGUGCUGAGGACCACCGGAGUAACUCUUAAAUUGGCUAAGCACAGACACCAUUGCAAUGAGAGCCAUAAAAAUGUGGAUUUCUCAGAGAUCUGACAAAAAAGGGGAGCAGAGACCACUUCAGUGGUGACUGCAUUCAUACUUUUGGGAGACAUAUUCCAUGACACAGUUGCCAUUACUUCCACCAGAUUUUGGCCCUUUGCAAAAGCAGAAGGUCAUUUCAAUUUUAGUACCAGUGAGCAGUAUCUCAGGGCCUUCCUCUAUCACAUUUUAUUCAGUCAGGAACCAGAAAACUUUUCGCAUUUACUCAAUGCCUGAAGUAUAGUUCUGUGCUAGGAAUAAAAUUGUCAAGUUGUGUGCUU